rnacentral:misc_RNA from 1 species
GAUGAAUAACGUAGCGAAAUGCGAUAAGUAGUGUGAAUUGCAGAAUUCAGUGAAUCAUCGAAUCUUUGAACGCACAUUGCGGCCAUAGGUAUUCCUUUGGCCAUGCCUGUUCGAGCGUCAUUUACACCCUCAAGCCUAGCUUGGUGUUGGGCGUCUGUCCCGCCGUUUUCGCGCGCGGACUCGCCUCAAAGUCAUUGGCGGCGGUCGUGCCGGCCCCCUCGCGCAGCACAUUUGCGCUUCUCGGAGGCCCGGCGGAUCCGCGCUCCAGCAAGACCUUUCACGACUUGACCUCGGAUCAGGUAGGGAUACCCGCUGAACUUAAGCAUAUCAAUAAGCGGAGGA